rnacentral:lncRNA from 1 species
UUGGUUCACCAUUGCUAGAUGGUUACAUCGAUUAGUAUAGGAAGUUAUUCCUAUACUACUGACUUAGGUUCGAACCUAUAGGGUCAUACGCAUUAGAAGAUUUGGUCCGAUCUGAUGGCUGAAGAGUCCAAUUGAUUGUGACUCUAGUGACGAGUCCUACUAGGACUGGGACUCUUGGGGAGAGUUUCACUGAGACUAGGACUCUACUAUUUAUAGAA